ACAGAGGAGACACCUGGAAGCUUUGCAACUUUUGCAACAAAAAGCUCCAUUAAACACUCCAAACUUCAAUCCAUAAAUACCUUGUCUUCUCCCAAAGAUGUAGCUUGAAGCUACCGCCCAAAACCUCUACAAAAUCAAUAAACACAGCUCCUCCAUCACCACUGGAACGAGAAGCAACAGUACCGAUCUGAAAAAACAAAACCAACAGACCCAUGUAGAAAAAGCAGUUGCACACCUUAAGAAUUAAAAACAAAGAACAAAAUAAAGCCUAAAAGAUCGAGGAAGAGACUAAGAGGUGCCGAUUGUGUUUUAGAAUAGACCCUUCCCAGCUUCCUCUCCUUCCUCCCAUUGAUUUCCAAACAUUUAGUUCUCGAAUGGAGUUCAAUCACAGUGAGUUUGCUGCUCGAGUCACCAAGGUUGAGUUUUUCGAUGUGUUCUUUGGUUGACAGAUUCGUUCGAGGCUUCUGAUUCGAGUCUUAUUUUCAUUCGUGUAACUUUCCUAGAAUUCUAAUUGAAUUCACUUGGAGUUCUCUGUAAAAAAUAGCUAGCUCGUUCAUAAAAU
rnacentral:lncRNA from 1 species